GUAAUAUUUCACUUUCAAUUCUGCUAUUAAUAUUUUUUUUCCGUAUGACUUUCGCUAAUUUGGGUUUGUGUAGUAUCAAUAGGAAUUCCAGUUAUUUCUUUCACUCGAAUUUCUCUUUAAUGUUAUAUUAAUUGUGAAGUUCAAUUUGUAUUUUACAUUAAGUUUCUCUUUUUCUUUUCCAAUUAAUUAUAUCAUGUACUCUGUUCUUAUCUCAAUAUUUCUCAUAAGAUGUAUGUAUAGCUUCAAAUUGGUAAUUUAUGAUACCCUCGUUCACAACUUCUUUUGCAUGUAGUGGGACAAUUUAGAUAAUUUUUUGAAUUUUGUCAUGUUCUUAUACUUAUUUCAAUCUUUUGAUGUUCCAUUGAGUCUAAUACAUGAUUAACUUCUAGGUUUUCACCAUUUACUCAAAAUACCAUAUCUUAUUAGUUUAUGAGAACUGUAAAUUUCUCCAAUAACAUGUUAAUUCAAGAAUUAUACAUGAAUUGUGCUCAGAUUUCAACUUAGCCUUUGCAAGAUUAAUUGGAUUGAUUCUGGUGUAUUUAUGUGUGUGAUUAAGUUUACUAUACUGUUAAUUGGUUGUUCUCAGUGUUUUACCUUAGAGGAAUUAUCAUCCAAACUAAGAACGUACUUAUAAGUAAGCAAAGAAGAUGAGUCUUUGGGUGAUGUUAGUUUCAACAUAAAAUUUUACACAUCAAUGGAUUGAAGGUUUAGGUGAGCAGAGAUGUGUUGAUGGGUAAGGACUAAGGAGUAUUCUAACCAAUGCUUUGACAGAGGUAGCACCAGUCAAGUGCUUGGUGCAGGAUUCCUCUUUGGGAACAAGCUUUUACUAGCUAGGAGAAGAAGGGGAAGAUUAUGUGUGCCUUGUGUAGGAAAUUCCUCAACGAAUCGAUGUUUGCGUGCAGUAACAUUGCCAGCCACUGCCGAUCUUUCUCUCUCUUGAGAUCUGCGUGCAGUAACAGACAGACAGUGCAUAGUUGCUUCAUUAGUUUUGAUUUAGCAUAAAAUCUGAUUAUGGGAAGGAAGUUAUGUUUAGUUUGAUAUUGAUUUCAUGUCUUACAUUUUGAUCGACUUCUAAUUAGUAUGAGUAAUUCUUUAUGGUUUCUCCAGCUUUUGAUUUAGUUGCGAUGAGUGAUUAAACUGCUAGCCGUGGUAGUAUGAUGUGCUUGCUUAUAUGCUUAUUUCUUGUAAGUAAUUCAACAAAUUGAUGUCCACCAGAUGAGCAUGUUAGCUAACUUUCGUUAUUUUCAUGUUCGUUUGAUUUGACAAGUUGUAGAUGUUCUGAAAACGCAAGAACCACAACUGAUUCUGUCGAUUCCUCUUUUGCAAGCUCCCUUCUCAGUUUCUAUCUUCUCUGUGUUGGUUGCAACAACUCUUCACCAGCGGUAACAAUGGUCGUCGGCCGUCAUAACAUGUUAUCUUGAGAUUAAUCAAACCUGUCGAUUUUGCACCAAUGUCUCAAAUACUCUUCCAGAAAACCAGACCUUGAUUUCUCUCUCUUUCAAUCCCUAAUUUAUAAACAAAUCAGGGGAAGAUUGUAGAGGCAGGUGGUCGGGAUUACUUCCUUGUGUUGAAUCUUCUUAGAAGCUCUGAGAAUGAGACCAUACAUCGAGUUGCAGUUGGCGUUAUUGCGAAUUAAGCAAUAAAUGCAUGAAAAUGGUAAUAAAAAGAUACAACAAAAUGAAGGACGAAAGCAACCACCAGCUAUCAUCUGCUGCUUCUGAACUUAAGGUAAACGUAUUUUAUCACGUGAUUAGCCUGCAUCGACACUGAAGCUUGACCUGCAUUUAUCAGCCCAAACUCGGUGACGUUUUCACAUAUAACGUAACAAGAGAAAAACUUAAUGGAAAUAGCAUGCACAUGGUGGUAUUUGCAACUAUACGAUUUCACAUACACAAUCAGUGUAGCACGUAUAGGUAUGAUUCAGGUGUUUAAGAAUAUUUCCUACACAAGUAGCAUAAUGUUGAAUUCUCGCACCUCAUUUGCUGCAUAUUUUUAGGGUUUCAGCAUAUUUUUGUCUUACAGGUGUGAAGAACAAGUAUUUUAGCAGUAAUGUAUAUGUUGUUGUUACUUUACAAUACGUUCAGUAAUUUCCUGUAUGAACUUGCAAAUAUGGAACUUGUAUCCUUACAUUUCAGCAUUCAGAACCAGUGAAGCUGAAAAUGCAGUAUGCUGUCAAUUCGCAAACUGUCGAGAAUGUCACCAGGAGAUGCCAAUAUAGAUAUGGAAUUAGAUGAUAUCAGCGACUUAGAAGGGACGGGCUUGGCUCAUUUAUAGAAGUUGGAUGGCUCAUUUGACAAGAUGAACUAUUGGAAGAGUACAAGGGAUAUAUGUUUAUUAUACUAGAAGAACUUCGCAAUUUCAAGGAAAAGUUCUUCAUGGAUGACAAUGAACUUUCUAUUGUUGUGGCGGAUGCUACUAUAGCAGGAAAUUGGAUUGGUGAGUACAAGGAGAAGUUGAGGCGCAUUGUGGAUUUAGGCUACUUACAUUGUGGACUAGUUUAGUGUAAGCAUGAUUGUUUGGAUAAACUAUGAUGAAUGAAAGCACGACUUGACUUUUGUUUUGAUUAUUAGAGUACUUAGACAAACAAGAAAAUUGGUGUUUGUAGAUGUUUUUGUAAGCAACUAUAUAAUUAUAUCAAUUAAAUUAUUGUCUAUCCUAUAUGCUAA